GAAACCGUGUACGUACAAGCAGUGGGAGCACAGGUUUACCUGUGUGACUGCGUACCUUUUGUAUAAUGGGUCAGCGACUUAUAUUCUGUAGCAAGGUUAACCGCAUAGGGGAGCCGGAGGGAAACCGAGUCUUAAUUGGGCGUUAAGUUGCAGGGUAUAGACCCGAAACCCGGUGAUCUAGCCAUGGGCAGGUUGAAGGUUGGGUAACACUAACUGGAGGACCGAACCGACUAAUGUUGAAAAAUUAGCGGAUGACCUGUGGCUGGGGGUGAAAGGCCAAUCAAACCGGGAGAUAGCUGGUUCUCCCCGAAAGCUAUUUAGGUAGCGCCUCGUGAAUUCAUCUCCGGGGGUAGAGCACUGUUUCGGCCAGGGGGCCAUCCCGGCUUACCAAUCCGAUGCAAACUGCGAAUACCGGAGAAUGUUAUCACGGGAGACACACGGCGGGUGCUAACGUCCGUCGUGAAGAGGGAAACAACCCAGACCGCCAGCUAAGGUCCCAAAGUCAUGGUUAAGUGGGAAACGAUGUGGGAAGGCCCAGACAGCCAGGAUGUUGGCUUAGAAGCAGCCAUCAUUUAAAGAAAGCGUAAUAGCUCACUGGUCGAGUCGGCCUGCGCGGAAGAUGUAACGGGGCUAAACCAU
rnacentral:rRNA from 1 species